rnacentral:rRNA from 1 species
AUUGUAUAGUUCUGAUAUGGGUGGUAUUUGUAGCCAACGUGUAGGUAGUUGUAUAUUAAAUAUGAAAGUUCUUUUAUGAUUAUGUGAUAGGUGGUGCAUGGCCGUCCUUAAUUCGUGGAGUGAUUUGUCUGCUUAAUUGCGCAUUGCAAAUUGUAAUUGAUCUUUUACCAGUCUCGUUCUGAUUUUUGUUGUGAAUAUUGUAAAUAUUGUUGUCGUCAGUCAUUAUUGCCACUACGUCUGGUCCUUUGGGCAGAAUAGUGUUUUAUAUUUUGUCUUGCAACACAAAAUUCUCACAAUAUUGUAGCCGUACUUCAUUGUAUGCGCUAUUCAUGUAUAUGUGACACAUU